GAUGAAGAACGCAGCGAACUGCGAUAAGUAAUGUGAAUUGCAGAAUUCAGUGAAUCAUCGAGUCUUUGAACGCACAUUGCGCCCCCUGGCAUUCCGGGGGGCAUGCCUGUCCGAGCGUCAUUGCUGCCCUUCAAGCCCGGCUUGUGUGUUGGGUCGUCGUCCCCCCCGGGGGACGGGCCCGAAAGGCAGCGGCGGCACCGCGUCCGGUCCUCGAGCGUAUGGGGCUUUGUCACCCGCUCGAUUAGGGCCGGCCGGGAGCCAGCCGGCGUCUCCAACCUUCUAUUUUACCAGGUUGACCUCGGAUCAGGUAGGGAUACCCGCUGAACUUAAGCAUAUCAAUAAGCGGAGGA
rnacentral:misc_RNA from 1 species